GUCAAUCACAGUGUUAUUUUUUAUAUAUAUAUACAUAUUUAUUUUUUUUUCCCUUAGGAAGUUGGCUGCAUUUUCAGAGGAUUUUUUCAGACAUCCUUCUGUCUUUAUUAAGGAUGGACAUAUUUCUUUGUUUGGAGAGUAAGAUAUUCUCUGCUUCUGGGCCAUUGGUGAAAACCUGUAAUUAAGGUAAGAGAAAUAACUUCAGAUUUUCUACAAUUUCACAGUCUUGCAGUGUCUGAUGGCUUGAGAAGUCAUGC
rnacentral:lncRNA from 1 species